CUGAGAAGUAGAGGUGCAUUAAAUAUUAGUAGUGAUAAUCAGGGUGAUUCCGCUUAUCUAUCAUGAAAGGAUUUAAUGCCGAAGUAGUAAUACAUAUCACGGUUUACUGCUGGGGCUGCAAUCGAAUAGGUGCAGCACUGCCAUAGUAUUUCUUAUCCGGAAGAUAAGAAGAUUUUAUACCUUUUAAUUACUGGUAUUACUAUGGAGCGCUACUGAUAGG
rnacentral:ncRNA from 2 species